rnacentral:rRNA from 1 species
GAUCAACGCUGGCGGCGUGCAUGAGACAUGCAAGUCGAACGGACGAUCGGGCUUGCUCGAUCGUUAGUGGCGGACGGCUGAGUAACGCGUGGGUGACCUGCCCCGAAGUGGGGAAUAACUGCCCGAAAGGGUGGCUAAUACCGCAUGUGGUGACUGGUUCGUUCCAGUCUCCAAAGCCGCAAGGCGCUUCGGGAGGGGCCUGCGUCCGAUUAGCUCGUUGGUGGGGUAACGGCUCACCAAGGCGACGAUCGGUAGGUGGUCUGAGAGGACGAUCACCCAGACUGGGACUGAGACACGGCCCAGACUCCUACGGGAGGCAGCAGUCGGGAAUUUUGCUCAAUGGGCGAAAGCCUGAAGCAGCAACGCCGCGUGAGGGAUGACGGCCUUCGGGUUGUAAACCUCUUUUCUCAGGGACGAUAAUGACGGUACCUGAGGAAUAAGCCACGGCUAACUACGUGCCAGCCGCCGCCGUAA